GUUGCUGACAUCACUAUGCUUGGCAUCUUUUGGAAGGGCUACUUGAGUUCAUACUCAGGUCCCCAUGCUUCCGAGGCAAGUGCUUUACUACCUGAGUCAUCCACCUCUCCUACCAUAUCAUCACUGUGCCAGUGGUGAUAGUCAGGAUUUCAGCAUCCCAGAUGCAGAGACCCACAACCAAACAUCAGGGAACUGCUCUAGCCUGCUGACAUCUUUAGAGGGCAAUGUACACUUGCUUGGAGCUAAUUCUGAGAUGCUUCAGAUGAACACAAUGGAUUAGUGGAUGGAUCUAUAGAAGCAGACAGUCAACAAAGCUCUCGGAAUGGAGAGAUGACUUAGUUAAGAAGCAAGAGGACCUGAGUUCCAGCCCCACAACUUAUGAAAAAAUGAUGGGCAUGAUGUCACAUUCAAAUGAUUCCAUCUCUCUGGAGGUCAGGUAGGCAGAACCCUGGGCUUCUUUCUGCAGCCUGCUUAGCCCGUGUGGCAAGCUCCAGGCCAAUGAAAAAUCUUUUCUCAAAAUGAAGGUCAGUUCGGGCAUGCCUCAGACAAGCUUCUUCUUGCAGUAGGAUGUAAUUAAAUCAGAGACAGUGUGCAGACUAUGAGAGACCGUGGAACACUCAUCCUUGGAUGGGAUAUCUUUA
rnacentral:lncRNA from 1 species